UCCACCACCUCCUCCUCCUCCUCCACCUCCUCCUCCACCUGACCACGACCACCACCACCACCACCACCACAGUAGCGAUCCUCUGCAGUGGUUGAGAGAGUCAGUACCUGGUGAGCCCGGCGUCGACUACCCAAUCUUCGGCUGGCCCAUUAUUGACACCGCCUUCUCCUGUGCUGGUAAACGAGACGGCUACUACGCUGACCCCGAGACAAGGUGCCAAGUCUUCCACAUCUGUCAGUUCGAGAGGGAUACCAAAGUCCUUUGUCCCAACGGCACUCUCUUCGACCAGGAGAAAUUCAACUGCAUCUGGUGGAACGCCGUCGACUGUAGCCUAACCGAAUCCUUCUAUGAGUUGAACAAAAAUAUCGGCGUCGUCCCCCCUGAUAGCAUAUACCAGGUUAAGCCUUAGCCAAUCCACUCUCGACAACGCCCCUCCUUCAACGUCUUCACAGGUUCACUGAGGAGGGCCUCCUGAUCCCGUAGACGGUUCUCUGACUCCCGCCCCGCUAUAAACUUGUGGCAGCAGGAAAACAUGAAACUUCUUCCCAUAACGACAAACACAACUUUAUACAUUACGAGAUAUAAAACACAUAAAAUGGUGAAUACAAACUAUCCUCAUGAUAUAAACUACCCAGGCUUAACGUUACCCCUAAACUCUAUCUUAUAAGAGUGUACAGGAAACAAAUGACCAUCAUUCUCACUAAACCAUCGAUUCUAAACGACAGAUCACUUCUAGUUAUACCUUUAUGUCUUUCUUAUUGGACUGUGUACAGUGCUGGUUGCUUGUUUUAACCAUAGGAUUAAUAAACGCACCUGAUUGUA